CCAGGUGUAUCCCACAUCCCCCAGGUGUAUCCCACAUCCCCCAGGUGUAUCCCAGGUGUAUCCAGGUGUAUCCCACGUCCCCCAGGUGUAUCCAGGUGUAUCCAGGUGUAUCCCACAUCCCCCAGGUGUAUCCCAGGUGUAUCCCAUCUCCCCCAGGUGUAUCCAGGUGUAUCCCAGGUAUAUCCCAGGUGUAUCCCAGGUGUAUCCAGGUGUAUCCCAGGUGUAUCCAGGUGUAUCCCACAUCCCCCAGGUGUAUCCCAGGUGUCCCCAGGUGUCCCCAGGUGUAUCCCAG